AGUGAACGCUGGCGGUAGGCCUAACACAUGCAAGUCGAACGGCCGCACAGUAAGAGCUUGCUCUUACGGGUGGCGAGUGGCGGACGGGUGAGGAAUACAUCGGAAUCUACUUUUUCUUGGGGGAUAACGUAGGGACACUUACGCUACUACCGCAUACGACCUACGGGUGAAAGCAAGGGAUCUUCGCACCUUGCGCGAUUCAAUGAGCCGAUGUCGGAUUAGCUAGUUGGUUGGGUAACGGCUCACCAAGGCGACGAUGCGUAGCCGGCCUGAGAGGAUGAUCAGCCACACUGGAACUGAGACACGGUCCAGACUCCUACGGGAGGCAGCAGUAGGGAAUCUUCGGCAAUGGGCGAAAGCCUGACGGAGCAACGCCGCGUGAGUGAUGAAGGUCUUCGGAUCGUAAAACUCUGUUAUUAGGGAAGAACAAAUGUGUAAUUAACUAUGCACGUCUUGACGGUACCUAAUCAGAAAGCCACGGCUAACUACGUG
rnacentral:rRNA from 1 species